rnacentral:lncRNA from 13 species
AUAGUGAUGUGAUAUAGGUAUCAACACCACUGGGAGGUACAGUAUAGUGAUGUGGUAUAGGUAUCAACACCACUGGGAGGUACAUAUUGGUGAUGUGGUAUACUGUAGGAAUCAACAACACUGGUGGUACAGUAUAGUGAUGUGGUAUAGGAAUCAACACCCCUGGUGGUACAUAAUAGUAAUGUGAUAUAGGUAUCAACACCACUGGUGGUACAUUAUAGUGAUGUGGUAUAGGAAUCAACACCACUGGGAGGUACAGUAUAGUGAUGUGGUAUAGGUAUCAACACCACUGGGAGGUACAGAAUUUUGAUUUGGUUUCGGAAUCAACACCACUGGUGGUACAGUAUAGUGACGUGGUAUAGGUAUCAACACCCCUGGUGGUACAUAAUAGUGAUGUGAUAUAGGUAUCAACACCACUGGUGGUACAGUAUAGUGAUGUGGUAUAGGUAUCAACACCACUGGAGGUACAGUAUAGUGAUGUGGUAUAGGUAUCAACACCACUGGGAGGUACAGAAUUUUGAUUUGGUUUCGGAAUCAACACCACUGGUGGUACAGUAUAGUGACGUGGUAUAGGUAUCAACACCCCUGGUGGUACAUAAUAGUGAUGUGAUAUAGGUAUCAACACCACUGGUGGUACAGAAUAGUGAUGAUGUAUACUGUAGGCAUCAACACCACUUGCAGUACAGUAUAGUAUAGGAAUCAACACCACUUGUGGUUAAUGUGAUAUAGGUAUCAAUACCACUGGUGGUACGGUAUAGUUAUGUGCUAUUGGAUUAACACCACUGGUGGUAGAGAAUAGUGAUGUAGUAUACUGCAGGUAUCAACACCACUUUUGGUAUAGUAUAGGGAUGUGGUAAACUGUAGUUAUCAACACCACAGGUGGUAUAGUAUAGGGAUGUAGUAUACUGCAGGUAUCAACACCACUUUUGGUAUAGUAUAGGGAUGUGGUAAACUGUAGUUAUCAACACCACAGGUGGUGCAGAAUAGUGAAGCAUUUCUAUUUAUCAGGUGCUUACUAAAGAACU